CAAAAAUCAUAAACUGAUUCCAAUUUUAGCUUCUCUUUGUUUCAACGGAUUCAACAACAAAUAUUCCGUUCCUAAUUAAAUUUAGUCACCGGCGUUGAAAAUUAUCGUCGCUAUUUUUUGUCGUUGACACUUAAAUUAGAAGGAAUUUUUAUUUAGCAAUGGAUUUUGCCGACAGAAAACUUACAUCGUUAAUCAAAAUUGGGUUUAAAUUGCAUAAAAAAUCAUCUAAUUAAAGGGGUUUAAAUUGCAUAUUUCUUUACUUUCUCAUCUCCUCCCUCAUUUCCUUCUCCCUCCCGAGCCAACCCCAACGCUCCAGCCUCUGUCCAGGCUCCGGCGAGGUCCGUCCGACCGAAGCCCGCACCAGAUCCCGUCCAUUCAACCCAGAUGCGGCGGCCCUUUCGCUUCCUUUUCUCUCCCCGUUUCCUCUCCUUUCCCUGGCCGGCCUCCUUUCCAUCGCGCCCUCUUGCUCUUUUCGUGGCCCCCUUUCACAGAUUUGAGGGUGGCGUUUUGGAUUUUGGUGUUUUUUCUGUUUAGUUAUUUUUUUUUUUAAUUUGAAAUGUGUUACAAUUGCAAAAUUUUAUAUUUAAAGUAUUACACCUGUUUGUAAACAUGACUUGUUUAUCUCCCUGCUCUUACGGUCUCUCUGCGGUCUCCACUUGCAGUCGGUGCCGGAGCUACUCCCAAGGAUGCUCACCUUGAGAUUUCGUAUUCACUUUUGCAGAGAUUGGGUACAAUAAUGGUUGCACAGCUGUUACAAAUGUCUUGAUUAAUGCAAGAAAGGCUGUUGAUAAGUCUUCUGCAGCUGAAGUUGCAAAUGUUCCCAUAUUAUCUACCAGUGUUUUCUAUGGUGUAUAUAUGGCAGUUUCUAGCAACCUCAGAUUACAAUUAUGCACUUUGGAAUCUCAAUUUCUAACCACUGGGGUGUCCUCUUGGGGACUAAUUCUGACUUGCAAAUUUAUUAUAUAAAAUAAUUUAAUUGUAUUAUGGAAGUCUGAAUUAUAAAUGAAUCUUUAUAAUGUAAAAUGUUAUGGUUUUUGAAUUAUGUCAAUUGGGUUUUUCAGUUAGAAGUAUGGUAAUUUUGGAUAUUUUGAAACUUGGAACCUUAGGAAUGUUCUCACUUUUCUAUUCCUUGGCAUGGAUGCCUUAAGUUCUUUAUCUGUUUCAAUGUAGACUUCCAAUGUAGACUUUUUCUGAUUCUUAUUGUCAUAUAUGCAAAUAUAGAAUACAUGGGUUUUUUUGGUAUUAAAAAAAAUACAUACAUGUCACCUGUUUCAAUCUUUGUCUUUCUUUCUUACUCAUUAUCUCUUAUGUACUUUCUCUCUCUAGCCUUAUAGCUCUAUGGCAUUUUUGAGACGAUAAAUAUAAAAGGUUGGAAUUUGAUGCUUCUUUUGCUGUUUUGUGGAAGUGCCAAAUUGGUGAAUUUGGUUUAAGCUUAGCAUUUGAUGCUUUUAGAGGUAAUGUCAAACACCCAAUUUAAAGGACUGUGAAUGAGACUGCCUCAUUUGAGUUCUUGCAGAAUUCAAGUUAGAAUGUACCAACCAACUUAUUGUGUUUUUCAAAUAAGAUGUAAAAUGAGGGAUCAGGUAUUGACCCCAAUUCUAAUAAACCUUUUAAAUUGAGAACAAAAUGAAGACAUAUUAGGUUAAUCAAAAUAUAAGGUUUGGAUGAGAUCUGUUUGAUGUCUCCUAUUAUUAUCAUUGUUACCAUUCAUUCAUGUCUAUAUUUAUCUAUAUGAUGUAGUUAGCAUUGUUAGCAGGAGAUUUUCUGCUUUUUCAAGCUCUUGGGUCCUUUGUUCCUUAAAAAACACAGAGGUGUGUGUUUGUCAUACCUAUAUUUCUGCUGCUGCAUCUCACUCAACUUUGCUUUUUUCUCUUCACCAAUCAUCUCCAAUCUGAUUGAAAAGGUUCUUUUCUCAACCUCAUUUAUUUAUUUUUUUGGUAUUCAUAUUUGACAGGUUUAUUACCUAUGGCUUAUCAUCUUUUUGCAAAAAAAAAAAAAUCUUAAUUCAAUCUCACUAUUCUGUAUUUUUUUUAAAAAAAACCAAACGUGAAGCUUGGCACUAGCAGUCUAGAAUCAACUGCACCUGUCAGGGGAGCUCCAAGUGAGCUUGUUGAUGGCUUUUUGGCUGUGUCGUCAUUUGAGCUUCCAAAUACUACUGAUUUUGAUGGGUCCAGAAAGAAGCUAUUCAGAUGGUGAAACCUGCUAAGGGUACCACCACGCUUGCUUUCAUCUUUAAGGAAGGCAUCAUGGUUGCUGCUGAUUCUAGAGCGCUAGCAUGGGAGGCUAUAGCUGUACAUAUGAUCAGAUGAAACUUGCUUUUGAACUUCAGAGUUGGAUGUCAUUGAGAGAUUGAAUGUAAAUUAUGGAUAUUUUAGAUUAGUAUAAAGUGUGUAAAGAUUAUUCUUUUGAAUAUUUGUAU